GGGCCCGCACAAGCGGUGGAGCAUGUGGUUUAAUUCGAUGCAACGCGAAGAACCUUACCUACUCUUGACAUCCAGAGAACCUUUUAGAGAUAGAAGGGUGCCUUCGGGAACUCUGAGACAGGUGCUGCAUGGCUGUCGUCAGCUCGUGUUGUGAAAUGUUGGGUUAAGUCCCGCAACGAGCGCAACCCUUAUCCUUGUUUGCCAGCACUUCGGGUGGGAACUCCAGGGAGACUGCCGGUGAUAAACCGGAGGAAGGUGGGGACGACGUCAAGUCAUCAUGGCCCUUACGAGUAGGGCUACACACGUGCUACAAUGGCAUAUACAGAGGGCUGCCAACUCGCGAGAGUGAGCGAAUCCCAUAAAGUAUGUCGUAGUCCGGAUUGGAGUCUGCAACUCGACUCCAUGAAGUCGGAAUCGCUAGUAAUCGUGGAUC
rnacentral:rRNA from 1 species